rfam:Alligator mississippiensis ScZkoYb_25, whole genome shotgun sequence.
GCUGUGAUGGCUGAGUGGUGAAGGUGGUAGACUUGAAAUUCAAUGGGAGCUUCCUGCGCAGGUUCAAAUCCUGCUCACAGCA